rnacentral:lncRNA from 1 species
CUUUGCCUGACUGGCAAGAGACUUAUAAACUCCAAAAUAUGCAAGUCAUCCUCCAUCUUGUUUUCCAUUUCCUUUGAGGCCGUUCCUUGGGCAUUGAGGCUUGAAUCCUGCUAUCAGAACUUUGGUGUUCUCUGGACACGUAACGUCCCCAGCGGGGCCCUAGCCUUUGGACUUGAACUGGAAUUUACACAACUGGCUUUGUUGAGUCUCCAAAUUACAGACAGCAGACCAUGGGACUUCUCCGCCUCCAUAAUCAUAGCUGGACUGCAGUGCUGUACCUUGCCAGCAGAGAAGGCUGUCUAGCACACAUCAGCCUGAAACCAGGAGAGAAGCAAGUCACUAAGUCCAGCUCACAUUCACAAUGAUGGGAAUUGAACCCUGGAGAGAAGAAUCUCUAGACUUUUAAAAAUGCACAGCACACUAAUCUGGCCUGCCAGGAGCAGG